AUGGAUGUUUCCCAUGGUUCACCAGGACGAAACGUGCCAUCGGUUGCUGCAGUGGUUAGUUCAUUGAAGUGGCCAAUCAUGUCAAAGUACAGAGCUUCUGUGUGCACUCAGUCACCCAGGCUGGAAAUGAUUGAUACCUUGUUUAAGCCAGUUGGAGACGAUGAUCAUGGCCUCAUUAAGGAUUCACUAGUUGACUUCCUCAGAAACAACGAUGGUCAGAGGCCGGAACAAAUUAUCAUUUUCAGGUCAGUAGUCCUCUCUGCUGAUGAGAUGGAAGUACCAGAGGAGCACCACAGCAAUCUCAGUAGUUGCUCCCAUCUUCUACGCACACCUUGCCGCGGGCCAGGUGGCCAAGUUCACCAGGCUCGAUGA
rnacentral:rRNA from 1 species